rnacentral:rRNA from 1 species
AUUGAACGCUGGCGGCAGGCCUAACACAUGCAAGUCGAACGAGUGGCGGACGGGUGAGUAAUGUCUGGGAACCUGCCUGAUGGAGUGGGAUAACUACUGGACACGGUAGCUACUACCGCAUACCAUCAGAUGUGCCCAGAUGGGAUUAGCGAGUUGGUGGGGUAACGGCUCACCAAGGCGACGAUCCCUAUCUGGUCUGAGAGGAUGACCAGCCACACUGGAACUGAGACACGGGCAAGACUCCUACGGGAGGCAGCAGUGGGGAAUAUUGCACAAUGGGCGCAAGCCUGAUUCAGCCAUGCCGCGUGUAUGAAGAAGGCCUUCGGGUUGUAAAGUACUUUCAGCGGGGAGGCGUUACCCGCAGAAGAAGCACCGGCUAACUCCGUGCCAGCAGCCGCGGUAAUAC